rnacentral:lncRNA from 1 species
AGUCGGGGUCCGAGGCUAGGUAGCGGCGCAGCAUGAACUCCUCGUACUUGUGCAUAAGCGGCGGGUCGGCGAGCAGCAAGCGGAUGUCGUGCGGGUUGAGUCGCUCGCUGCACUCGGGGCAGCUGAUGGGCACCCUGCUCUCGCUUAUCUCCAGGCGCAGGUAGUGGCGGAGGCAGUCCCGGCACGAGCGGUGCGGACAGCUGAGGAGGCGCGGGGCCCGCUCAGGCGGCAGCCGCACCAGGCACAGCGGACACUCCACCUCCUCCGCGCCCGGGCCACCGCCCUCCGCCGCCUCCUCAUCGUCGAACCCAGGCUCCGCCGCCGCCGCCGCGGCCUCCGCCUCGGCCUCGGCGGCCGGCUCGGCGGGCAGCGCCUCGGGCGGCGGGCCCUGGGCCGCGGCAGGGGCCGGGGCGGGCGGCGGCUGCGCAGCCGGGGGCGGCGGCUCGGCCUGCGGCUUGGCCCGGGCGCGGCGGCCGCGGGCCGAGGCAGAGAAGACGCUGUGCAAGGUGAGGCGCCGGCGCCGGCCGCCGCUGCGGCACUUAGGGUCGGGUGCGGCCGCAUGUAGCGAUGUGGAGCGCGGCGACUCGGAGUCCUUCUCGGAGCCCAUGGCCGGCAGAGGCCGAGGAGCCAGGGGCGCCCAAAGCCGAGCGGCAACGACGAAGUGAUUAUAAAGCCUCCGCCCCGCGCGCCGCUGCCCUGCGCAGGCGCUUCGCUCAAACACCUCACAACCCUUGCGCCCCGGUCUAGGAGUGCGCUGGGCAGGGCCGAGCGGGGUGGGGCCGAGCGAGCUGGGGCGGAGCUCCGCCUCCUGCCGGUCAGGUGGUUCCAGGGCCGCCAUGUUGCGGAGACUCUCAGAGAUCCUAGCCCGCUGCUCUCCCUGGUCUCCGCCUCCAAUUCCAUCACCAUGACACCCAAGGUGGACUUUUUGGUUUGCCGUUCCUCACAGGUUGAUUGCCACUUCCAGUAAAUGAUGGUUCAGUUACAUUAUUUAUAAAAAGCAGGCAGGGGUUGAUCAGAUGGUGACUCCCAACUGGUUCACCUUCCAACAUUUCUGUUUAUUAAGCAGACGGCAUAAAUUAAUAAAGAAUAUAUUCAUUCACUGAGCUUCUACAAAGUGCGAGGCAUUAGAAAAUAAAACAGACAAGGUCCCCUAUUGCAAGGGACUUCCAGAAUAAAGUCCAAAUUUCUUAGUCUAGCAUUCAGUGUUCUCUAUGUAUUUAAUAAACCCUAUGUAUAUAAUAGUCUAUUUCUAGGCUCACUUACCAUUCUAUCCUCCUGGUAUCUUGCUUACUUACCAAACUUGUGGAAGGAGACCCAGCGUUUUCUUGCCUGGCAGUGCCUUUGCCUUUCUUUUUCUAGUUCCCCAUUCCUCUGACUGGGGGAGGAUCUGGACCCUUAGGCUUCCUAGUGGGAGGCAGGCAAACAGCUUCAACAACAGGAAUGUAUCAGGAUUACAUUCAAUUGCAAAUAACAAAAGAAAAAAAUAGCUUACGAUUGAAAUUUAUUUAUUUUUUUUCCUGAGACGGUUUUGCUCUGUCACCCAGGUUGGAGUGCAGUGGCGUGAUCACAGCUCACUGAAGCCUCAACCUCCCAAGCUUAAGCGAUCCUCCCACCCCAACCUCUGGAGUAGCUG